UGGGGAAUUUUGGACAAUGGACGCAAGUCUGAUCCAGCCAUGCCGCGUGCGGGAAGAAGGCCUUCGGGUUGUAAACCGCUUUUGUCAGGGAAGAAAAGUCUGGAGCUAAUAUCUCCGGACGAUGACGGUACCUGAAGAAUAAGCACCGGCUAACUACGUGCCAGCAGCCGCGGUAAUACGUAGGGUGCAAGCGUUAAUCGGAAUUACUGGGCGUAAAGCGUGCGCAGGCGGUUCUAUAAGACAGAUGUGAAAUCCCCGGGCUCAACCUGGGAACUGCAUUUGUGACUGUAGAGCUGGAGUGCGGCAGAGGGGGAUGGAAUUCCGCGUGUAGCAGUGAAAUGCGUAGAUAUGCGGAGGAACACCGAUGGCGAAGGCAAUCCCCUGGGCCUGCACUGACGCUCAGGCACGAAAGCGUGGGGAGCAAACAG
rnacentral:rRNA from 1 species